rnacentral:rRNA from 1 species
UACGUAGGGCGCAAGCGUUGUCCGGAAUUAUUGGGCGUAAAGAGCUCGUAGGCGGUCCGUCACGUCUGCCGUGAAAACCCGAGGCUUAACCUCGGGCCUGCGGUGGAUACGGCGGACUAGAGGUAGGUAGGGGAGAAUGGAAUUCCCGGUGUAGCGGUGAAAUGCGCAGAUAUCGGGAGGAACACCGGUGGCGAAGGCGGUUCCCUGGGCCUUACCUGACGCUGAGGAGCGAAAGCGUGGGGAGCGAACAGG